ACAAAACACACGUGUCCAGAUGUCACUACUGUCAACAAUGGAAAAGCAGGUGCUCGCGCAUUCGCGCUUAGAGCACGCUGCUUCAAGGGGAAAUCAUGACACUCGAUGACUUUGCUUAGAUCCGGUAAAGCGGAUUUAGACUUGUCCGUGGCCAGAAAUAAAGAAAUGAUUGCUGGUGACUUUCUGAGAAAAGCUCACCGACUCACCAACAGCUGCGUGGAAAUGGGAAAGUGCGUCGGCCAGCUGUCCGGCAGCCAGGAGCUUCUUCCCCAUCUCCAGGUAAGGUGAUAUCCAUCCAUCCAUCUUCAAUACUACUUAUCCUUCAGGGUCACGGGGAACCUGGCGCCUAUCCCAGGGAGCAUCGGGCACAAGUAUAUCCUGGACAGGCCAAUCCAUUACGGCACAAUCACAUACACACUCGCACACCCAUUCAUACACUACGGACACUUUUAGACAUGCCAAUCAGCCUACCAUGCAUGUCUUUGGACUGGGGGAGGAAACCGGAGUACCCGGAGGAAACCCCCACAGCACGGGGAGAACAUGAAAACUCCGCACACACAGGGCCUCAGUGGGAAUCGAGCCCCCGACCCUGGAGUGAGGCGAAUGUGCUAACCACUAAGCCACCAUCCACCUGGUAUUGUGAUAUCUUUUUUUUAGUAAUUACAAAAUAAAUUGAAUUGAAUGAAAGCAGCUAAUUAUAUGUAAAUUUGCUGAUGUUUUUAAAAGCCUAAUCUUUCAAAUA